rnacentral:rRNA from 1 species
AGAGUUUGAUCAUGGCUCAGAAUCAACGCUGGCGGCGCGCUUAACACAUGCAAGUCGCACGAGAAAGCGGGAGCAAUCUCGCAAGUACAGUGGCGUACGGGUGAGUAACACGUGGAUGAUCUACCUUUUAGUGGGGAAUAACGCUGGGAAACCGGCGCUAAUACCGCAUAAGCUCGAGAGAGGAAAGCAGCAAUGCGCUGGAAGAGGAGUCCGCGGCCGAUUAGCUAGUUGGCAGGGUAAAAGCCUACCAAGGCAUAGAUCGGUAGCCGGCCUGAGAGGGCACACGGCCACACUGGCACUGAAACACGGGCCAGACUCCUACGGGAGGCAGCAGUGGGGAAUCUUGCACAAUGGGGGCAACCCUGAUGCAGCGACGCCGCGUGAGCGAUGAANNCCUUCGGGGUGUAAAGCUCUUUCUCAGGGCGAUAAUGACGGUACCUGGAGAAGCAGCUGCGGCNCUACGUGCCAGCAGCCGCGGUAAUACGUAGGCAGCGAGCGUUGUUCGGAGUUACUGGGCGUAAAGGGUGUGUAGGCGGUUUUCUAAGUUUGGUGUGAAAUCUCCCGGCUCAACCGGGAGGGUGCGCCGAAAACUGGGAGACUAGAGUGCGGGAUGGGAGAGUAGAAUUCCUGGUGUAGCGGUGAAAUGCGUAGAUAUCAGGAGGAAUACCGGUGGUGUAGACGGCUCUCUGGACCGCCACUGACGCUGAGACACGAAAGCGUGGGUAGCAAACAGGAUUAGAUACCCUAGUAGUCC